rnacentral:rRNA from 1 species
UACGUAGGGGGCAAGCGUUGUCCGGAAUCAUUGGGCGUAAAGAGCGUGUAGGCGGCCAGAUAAGUCCGCUGUGAAAUCUCGAGGCUCAACUUCGAGCUGUCGGUGGAAACUGUCUGGCUAGAGUCCGGAAGAGGAGAAUGGAAUUCCUGGUGUAGCGGUGAAAUGCGCAGAUAUCGGGAGGAACACCUAUGGCGAAGGCAGCUCGCUGGGACGUUACUGACGCUGAGACGCGAAAGCGUGGGGAGCAAACAGG